GAUGAAGAACGUAGCGAAAUGCGAUACGUAAUGUGAAUUGCAGAAUUCAGUGAAUCAUCGAGUCUUUGAACGCACAUUGCGCCCCCUGGUAUUCCGGGGGGCAUGCCUGUCCGAGCGUCAUUGCUGCCCUCAAGCACGGCUUGUGUGUUGGGCCUCCGUCCUCCUCCCGGGGGACGGGCCCGAAAGGCAGCGGCGGCACCGCGUCCGGUCCUCGAGCGUAUGGGGCUUCGUCACCCGCUCUUGUAGGCCCGGCCGGCGCUUGCCGACACAUCAAUCUUUUUUCCAGGUUGACCUCGGAUCGGGUAGGGAUACCCGCUGAACUUAAGCAUAUCAAUAAGCGGAGGA
rnacentral:misc_RNA from 1 species